GCUCUGAUCUUGACGUCACUUCUGGAGCGACGACUUUCUCCCCUAAGUCUCCUUAACCCGGGACAGCGGAGAAGAUGGCGACCCUGAGCGGAGCUCGCGUGCUGAGGCGGGCGCUGACGGUGUCCCCGAGCCUCGGGGCCUGGAGGGGCCUGAUCACCACGGCUGCAGCCAGGGCCUCCCCGCGGAGCGCGGUGGAUGAUGUGAAGGUGGAGGGUGCGUUCCCCGUCACCAUGCUGCCCGGUGAUGGCGUGGGGCCUGAACUCAUGCAUGCUGUCAAAGAAGUUUUCAAGGCAGCCAACGUCCCAGUGGAGUUCCAGGAGCAUCACCUGAGUGAGGUGCAGAACAUGGCCUCAGAAGAAAAACUGGAGCAGGUGCUGAGCUCCAUGAAGGAAAACAAGGUUGCAAUCAUUGGAAAAAUUCACACCCCAAUGGACACAGAGUACAAGGGGGACUUGGCCUCUUAUGACAUGCGGCUCAGGCGUAAGCUGGACCUGUUUGCCAACGUCGUUCAUGUCAAGAGCCUCCCCGGGUACAAGACUCGACACAAUAACCUGGACUUGGUGAUCAUCCGGGAGCAGACCGAGGGAGAAUACAGCUCCCUGGAGCACGAGAGUGCCAGGGGUGUGAUCGAGUGCUUGAAAAUCGUCACUCGGGCCAAGUCCCAGCGGAUCGCCAAGUUUGCCUUCGACUACGCCACCAAGAAGGGUCGAGGGAAGGUCACGGCAGUGCACAAGGCCAACAUUAUGAAGCUGGGCGACGGGCUCUUCCUGCAGUGUUGUGAGGAGGUGGCCGAGCUGUACCCCAAGAUCAAGUUUGAGACCAUGAUCAUAGACAACUGCUGUAUGCAGCUGGUGCAGAACCCAUACCAGUUUGAUGUGCUUGUGAUGCCCAAUCUCUAUGGAAACAUCAUCGACAACCUGGCAGCAGGGCUGGUGGGGGGUGCCGGCGUGGUUCCCGGUGAGAGCUACAGCGCCGAGUACGCUGUUUUUGAAACGGGCGCAAGGCACCCAUUUGCCCAGGCUGUGGGCAGGAACAUUGCCAAUCCAACUGCCAUGCUGCUGUCUUCCAGCAAUAUGCUGAGGCACCUCAACCUGGAAUAUCACUCCAACAUGAUUGCCGAGGCCGUGAAGAAGGUCAUCAAAGCUGGCAAAGUUCGGACUCGCGACAUGGGCGGCUACAGCACCACGUCUGACUUCAUCAAGUCUGUCAUCAGCCACCUGCACCCCCCUCAUGGGGGCUAGAACCUUCCCAUUCCCUUACCUUGUCUUUGACUAGCGCCCUGGACAACUCCCCCCAUCCCCAUAAAUCGGACCAUGGAGGAAGCUGCAUCAGCCCCCAUUGCAUUGCUUGGGACCAGAUCUCUCCAGCUGUUUGUGCUUUUUGUCUAAAUAAAAACUGUGGACCAGACUCAGGAUGCUUUGUGCUCCCCCUUGGCUUCUCCCUGUAAUCCACAGGCUAUGGGGGAAGGUUCGCACCCCGGACAUGGGCGGCUAUGCCACCUGCCGGGACUUCACCCAGGCCAUCAUUAGUAGCCUGCCUACCACACAAGCCUCCUGACAAAACUGGGAGAAGAAAUAAAUUGAGCCAAGGUAGCA